GUGAAGUGGUACCACCGUAAAUCCAUGUCCUCUAAUGUCAGCGGACUAUCAGCUAAGAUGGCGUCAACAGAGGCCUAGAGAGGAGGAUGAACUUUUCCAUUUGAACAGCAGAUGUGAGCUGCCCUUUACCCCUGGCAUAUCAACAGAAAUUAAGUGGAGAACCUGGAAAGAUGCCAGCGUUUAGCAACAGCAAAGUAAUGCCAUUCUUACCCUACUGGUGCAACAUCAUAAGGAUCCUGAUAAAAGAAAAAAUUUAAUAAGAUCUAGGGCCUCACAACAUAACACCCAAAGUGUUCAGAAUACAGUGGAGGCCAGGCGCAGUGGCUCACGCCUGUAAUCCCAGCACGUUGGAAGUCCAAGGUGGGCGGAUCAUGAGGUCAGGAGUUUGAGACCAGCCUGGCCAAUAUGGUGAAACCAUGUCUCUACUAAAAAAAACAAAAAAUACAAAAUUAGCCAAGCAUGGUGGUGUGCGCCUGUAAUCUUAGCUAAUAGGGAGGCUGAGGCAGGAGAAUCACUUGAAUCCUGGAGGUGGAGGUUGCAGUGAGCCGAGAUCAUGCCACUGCACUCCAGCCUGGGCGACAGAGCAAGACUCCAUCUCAAAACAAUACAAAAAACAGAAUACAAUGAAAAAUCACUAGUUAUUUAUAAAACCAGGAAAAUCUUAACUUGAAUGACAAAAAGACAACAGAUGCUGACUCUGAGAUGAUGCAGAUGUUAGUAUUAUCUGAUAAGGAUUUUGAGACAGACAUCAUGAACUGCUUCAAUGAGCAAUUACAAAUCUGACUAAAAUGAAAAAAAUAGAGACUUGGAACAAAAAAAUGAGAAAGUCUCAGGAAAGAAAUAUAAAAUAUAAAGAUGAAAGUAAUAGAAAUUUUAGAACUGGAAACUACAAUAACCAAAUCCAAACUCACUGGAUGGGCUCAACAGCAGGACAGAGAAUAGAGAAAAUUAUCAGCAAACUUGAACAUAGAGAA
rnacentral:lncRNA from 10 species